rfam:Methanomicrobiales archaeon 53_19 MPJ_scaffold_340, whole genome shotgun sequence.
CGCACAGUAUGUGCUGGCUGAGGUAAGUCCGACGUGCUCGAUGGCACUGCCCGUUAUGGGGGCUUGGGAUUAC